GGAUGAACGCUGGCGGCGUGCCUAAUACAUGCAAGUCGAACGAACUUCCGUUAAUUGAUUAUGACGUACUUGUACUGAUUGAGAUUUUAACACGAAGUGAGUGGCGAACGGGUGAGUAACACGUGGGUAACCUGCCCAGAAGUAGGGGAUAACACCUGGAAACAGAUGCUAAUACCGUAUAACAGAGAAAACCGCAUGGUUUUCUUUUAAAAGAUGGCUCUGCUAUCACUUCUGGAUGGACCCGCGGCGUAUUAGCUAGUUGGUGAGGUAAAGGCUCACCAAGGCAGUGAUACGUAGCCGACCUGAGAGGGUAAUCGGCCACAUUGGGACUGAGACACGGCCCAGACUCCUACGGGAGGCAGCAGUAGGGAAUCUUCCACAAUGGACGCAAGUCUGAUGGAGCAACGCCGCGUGAGUGAAGAAGGGUUUCGGCUCGUAAAGCUCUGUUGUUAAAGAAGAACGUGGGUAAGAGUAACUGUUUACCCAGUGACGGUAUUUAACCAGAAAGCCACGGCUAACUACGUGCCAGCAGCCGCGGUAAUACGUAGGUGGCAAGCGUUAUCCGGAUUUAUUGGGCGUAAAGCGAGCGCAGGCGGUCUUUUAAGUCUAAUGUGAAAGCCUUCGGCUCAACCGAAGAAGUGCAUUGGAAACUGGGAGACUUGAGUGCAGAAGAGGACAGUGGAACUCCAUGUGUAGCGGUGAAAUGCGUAGAUAUAUGGAAGAACACCAGUGGCGAAGGCGGCUGUCUGGUCUGCAACUGACGCUGAGGCUCGAAAGCAUGGGUAGCGAACAGGAUUAGAUACCCUGGUAGUCCAUGCCGUAAACGAUGAUUACUAAGUGUUGGAGGGUUUCCGCCCUUCAGUGCUGCAGCUAACGCAUUAAGUAAUCCGCCUGGGGAGUACGACCGCAAGGUUGAAACUCAAAAGAAUUGACGGGGGCCCGCACAAGCGGUGGAGCAUGUGGUUUAAUUCGAAGCUACGCGAAGAACCUUACCAGGUCUUGACAUCUUCUGACAGUCUAAGAGAUUAGAGGUUCCCUUCGGGGACAGAAUGACAGGUGGUGCAUGGUUGUCGUCAGCUCGUGUCGUGAGAUGUUGGGUUAAGUCCCGC
rnacentral:rRNA from 1 species